UCAGAGCCUUGCUAAUGACAACAAUGAG
rnacentral:sRNA from 1 species